rnacentral:rRNA from 1 species
GACAGAGGUGCCAAGCGUUAGGCGGAAUCACUGGGCUUAAAGGGUGCGUAGGCGGUGCGGAAAGUUGGGUGUGAAAUCCCUCGGCUCAACCGAGGAACUGCGCCCAAAACUACCGUACUCGAGGAAGAUAGAGGUGAGCGGAACUUACGGUGGAGCGGUGAAAUGCGUUGAUAUCGUAAGGAACACCCGUGGCGAAAGCGGAUCACUGGGUCUUUUCUGACGCUGAUGCACGAAAGCUAGGGGAGCAAACGGG